rnacentral:rRNA from 1 species
AGUGAACGCUGGCGGCAGGCCUAACACAUGCAAGUCGAGCGGCAGCGCGGGGGCAACCCUGGCGGCGAGCGGCGGACGGGUGAGGAAUUCGUCGGAAUCUGCCCUUUUGUGGGGGAUAACGUAGGGAAACUUACGCUAAUACCGCAUACGUCCUACGGGAGAAAGUGGGGGACCGCAAGGCCUCACGCAGAAAGAUGAGCCGACGACCGAUUAGCUAGUUGGUGGGGUAAAGGCCCACCAAGGCGACGAUCGGUAGCUGGUCUGAGAGGAUGAUCAGCCACACUGGGACUGAGACACGGCCCAGACUCCUACGGGAGGCAGCAGUGGGGAAUAUUGGACAAUGGGCGCAAGCCUGAUCCAGCCAUGCCGCGUGUGUGAAGAAGGCCUUCGGGUUGUAAAGCACUUUUGUCCGGAAAGAAAUCCCUGGAGCUAAUACCUUCGGGGGAUGACGGUACCGGAAGAAUAAGCACCGGCUAACUUCGUG